rnacentral:rRNA from 14 species
UUAAAUUGAAGAGUUUGAUCAUGGCUCAGAUUGAACGCUGGCGGCAGGCCUAACACAUGCAAGUCGAACGGUAACAGGAAGCAGCUUGCUGCUUCGC